UGAUUAUUGCUUUGCCCCUUUUGUCAUGAAUUAGAGGCUUUACAACUGAUGGCCUCACUGCUAUUGCUGCCAAUUGUAGCCAUUUCAGUUACUCAUUAAGUUCUUACCAAUGGGUUGUGGUUUGAUAUGGCAAGAGAUCUCAAUUGCAGCAAAUGUAGCCCAAAAGGAAAUUGAUAAGUACAUCAAGAUACCUGGAGAACCCUUCAGCUAAGUCGACCUAUCAACAACAAUUCCAUAUCGGUCCAAAUGCUGAGGUUUUGCAGUCUCCUCCAGCUAAAUACAUCUACUUAGGACAAAUGGGAAACUUAAUUUGGUUCACACAGCACA
rnacentral:lncRNA from 1 species